rnacentral:lncRNA from 1 species
UUUAAUGCUCAAAGUAUCUAAGUGCAUGUUGGGGGACUCAAGGACAGAGAAGAGGUAAAAAAAACUCUCUUCCAAAUUAUACUGUAGCAGGAGGGAGCCAGUUGAAGAUUCAGGUAAGGACAAAGUCACUUUUUGUUGGAAAUGAUGGGAGAUGAGAGGGGUCCCUAGGUAAAUCAAUACAUCAAACCAUGCUUGUAAAAUAUUUAGAAGACAAUACUAUAUACAGACUAUCUGCAUUUUCUGUCCCAUCAGCAUGCUCUCUCCCACCCAGGAAGCAACACAAUCUAUGCCAACUCACAGAAAGCCACGUCACCAAAAGAGCCAGUUUACCUGAUGAUCAGCUUCUGAAUAUCAACUCCACCUACUUCACCAAAUUUGUGAGCCUGGAGUGGCAGACCAACUUUAUCAAGAAUCUUUUUGAUGUCUUUGACAGGAAUGUUUCUUUAUGAAUUUUUCCAAUUUUUUUCUGGAUGCUUUCAAAUUUCAGAUUAACAUUAACUUUACAUUUUCAUAUACUUUACAUUUUAAAUCUACAUUUGAAAUUUGAGUUGUUUAGCUUUUUUAAAAAUUU